rnacentral:rRNA from 1 species
GACGAACGCUGGCGGCGUGCUUAACACAUGCAAGUCGAACGAGUGGCGGACGGGUGAGUAAUGUCUGGGAACCUGCCUGAUGGAGGGGGAUAACUACUGGAAACGGUAGCUAAUACCGCAUACCAUCAGAUGUGCCCAGAUGGGAUUAGCUUGUUGGUGGGGUAACGGCUAACCAGGGCGACGAUCCCUAGCUGGUCUGAGAGGAUGACCAGCAACACUGGAACGGAGACACGGUCCAGACUCCUACGGGAGGCAGAAGUGGGGAAGAUUGCAAAUUGGGCGAAAGCCUGAUGCAGACAUGCCGCGUGUAUGAAGAAGUCCUUCGGUUUGUAAAGUACUUUCAGCGGGGAGGCGUUACCCGCAGAAGAAGCACCGGCUAACUCCGUGCCAGCAGCCGCGGUAAUAC